rnacentral:rRNA from 1 species
UACGUAGGGGGCAAGCGUUGUCCGGAUUUAUUGGGCGUAAAGAGCGUGUAGGCGGUCUGGUAGGUCCGUUGUGAAAACUCGAGGCUCAACCUCGAGACGCCGAUGGAAACCCUCAGACUAGAGUCCGGAAGAGGAGAGUGGAAUUCCUGGUGUAGCGGUGAAAUGCGCAGAUAUCAGGAAGAACACCCGUGGCUAAGGCGGCUCUCUAGUACGGUACAGACGCUGAGACGCGAAAGCGUGGGGAGCGAACAGG